GAGUGUCCGGGGACCCAACAGAAUGCGUCAUCGACAAAAUCUCUUCAAAUUACCUGACGACAAUUUUCGAUAUAAAUAUCGAUUUACGUUUUUCGAAAUAAUAGUCAAUUGAAUGCAUGAUGAUAAUCCAGGAUGAUCCUAUGAUGCUCAACUGGGCUCGCCAUAAAAUUCAAGACUAUUUUGGCGUUUUGCACGCCGUAUCUCUGCCAGUAAUAUGCAAUGUUUGUAAAAGACUGGAAGCUUGCUAAAAUGUACAAAAAUGCCUAGAUGAGAAAGGGAACAAGAUUGUGUGAUGAAGAACAGUGUCCAACAUGUAUCAGUGCAUUUGACUGUAUAAAUAGACAUCGGAAUAAAAUAUAAUUUUCUACUUU